rnacentral:rRNA from 1 species
AUGCGUCCGCCCCGUUCCAACCUGCCUCUUUUCUCUCUCUCUCUCUCUCUCUCUCUCUCUCUCUCUCUCUCUCUCGCAGACCCACUCCACCCGCGGUGGCGUGCCAUCCGCCUCCGCACCAUCUUCCCCGGACACGCCUUCGCCUCGGCCGAAGCAGGAGUGGAGAUGGCAGUGAUUGCCGCUGUAGCUAACAGCAUCCGCAUACCCUUGUGGAGAUUAUUUGGGGGAGCAUCAAACACUGUGACAACAGACAUCACGGGACGUUUCAAAAAAAAACCAGACAUCACGAUUCCAAUUGUGACCCGAAAUGAAGCCGCUCAAUUGGCUGCAAAAUAUCAAGGACAAGGGUUUCAGACUCUGAAGCUCAAAGUAGGGAAAAACUUGAACUCAGACAUAGAAGUUCUGAAGGCUAUACGGCGACUGCUCAUUUAUCUUGGAUGCAAAUGA